AUGCUCGCCGGCGGCGAGGACGGCAACGGCCAUCUGCCGCGGCCCCGCAGGCCGCGGCGCGUCGGAGGCAUGGGAUCUCCUUCGGGCCAGGCGGCCUCGGCUCUGCCGCACCCCGCUCCGCCCCCCUGCACCGACUACGACAUGGCCUACUUCAAGGCCUACUCCCACAUCGGCGUCCACGAGGAGAUGCUCAAGGAUCAUGUGAGGACUAAUACUUACAGAAAUGCUAUCAUGCAUCACAAAGAUCUAAUUUCAGGCAAGGUCGUAUUGGAUGUUGGCUGCGGCACUGGUGUUCUUUCUAUAUUUUGUGCUUUUGCUGGUGCCACUCGGGUCUAUGCAGUCGAUGCAAGUGAUAUUGCGUUACAGGCAAUGGAAAUUGUGAGGGAAAAUGAGCUGUCUGACAAAGUCAUUGUUUUGCAUGGACGAAUCGAGGAUGUCGAAAUUGAAGAAAAAGUUGAUGUCAUUAUAUCUGAAUGGAUGGGCUAUAUGCUUCUCUACGAGAGUAUGCUGGGGAGCGUAAUUUUUGCUAGGGAUAAAUGGCUUAAGCCAGGGGGUCUUAUUCUUCCAUCUCAUGCAUCGCUUUAUCUUGCGCCUAUUACAAAUUCGCACAGAUAUCAGGAUAGUAUUUACUUCUGGCGAGAUGUAUAUGGUAUAAAAAUGUCCUGUAUGAUGCCGCUUGCAAAACAAUGCACAUUCAUGGAGCCUUCUGUUGAGACAAUUAGUGGCGAGAAUGUUUUGACAUGGCCAACGGUGGUUGCACAAGUGGAUUGCUAUACCAUACAAGCUCCAGAUCUUGAAACUAUUACCGCUGCAUACAAGUUUACAUCAAUGUUGCAAGCUCCAUUGCAUGGAUUUGCAUUUUGGUUCGAUGUCGAGUUUAAUGGACCAGUUCGCCAGAAAUUCAAGAAGCAAGCAAGCCAACCCUUGGAUGUCAAUAUGCAAAAUUCCAACCCAAGCAAUAAAAAGAAAAAGGCAGAUGUCUCAAUUGUUCUGUCAACUGCCCCAGAGGACGCCCCUACUCACUGGCAGCAGACUCUCCUUUACUUAUUUGAACCUAUUGAGUUAAAGAAAAACCAAAUUAUGGAAGGUUCUGUUACCAUAUCUCAGAGCCAGCAACAUGCUCGCUUCCUUAACAUUUGCCUGAAAUAUUUUACUGGAGACCAAUGGUACGUUAAAGAAUCAGUGAUGCGAUAG
rnacentral:rRNA from 1 species